UACAAAUGAAGUUGACGGGACCCGCACAAGCAGCGGAGCGUGUGGUUUAAUUCGUUGCUACACGAAGAACUUACCUGGGUUUGACAUAUAGGUUGUAGGGAACUGAAAGGGACCGACCCUUCGGGGAGCCUAUACAGGUGUUGCAUGGCUGUCGUCAGCUCGUGUCGUGAGAUGUUCGGUUAAGUCCGCUAACGAGCGCAACCCUCGUCGUAUGUUAUAUGUGUCAUACGAGACUGCCGGUAAAAAGCCGGAGGAAGGUGAGGAUGAUGUCAAGUCAGCAUGACCUUUAUAUCCAGGGCUACACACACGCUACAAUGGUCUGUACAAUGGGUAGCCAAGCCGCGAGGCGGAGCCAAUCCUGAAAGCAGGCCUCAGUUCAGAUUGCAGUCUGCAACUCGACUGCAUGAAGCCGGAGUUGCUAGUAACCGCAGGUCAGCAAUACUGCGGUGAAUACGUUCCCGGGUCUU
rnacentral:rRNA from 1 species